rnacentral:rRNA from 1 species
AGAGUUUUGAUUCAUGGCUCAGGAUGAACGCUGGCGGCGUGCCUAAUACAUGCAAGUCGAGCGAACGGACGAGAAGCUUGCUUCUCUGAUGUUAGCGGCGGACGGGUGAGUAACACGUGGAUAACCUACCUAUAAGACUGGGAUAACUUCGGGAAACCGGAGCUAAUACCGGAUAAUAUUUUGAACCGCAUGGUUCAAAAGUGAAAGACGGUCUUGCUGUCACUUAUAGAUGGAUCCGCGCUGCAUUAGCUAGUUGGUAAGGUAACGGCUUACCAAGGCAACGAUGCAUAGCCGACCUGAGAGGGUGAUCGGCCACACUGGAACUGAGACACGGUCCAGACUCCUACGGGAGGCAGCAGUAGGGAAUCUUCCGCAAUGGGCGAAAGCCUGACGGAGCAACGCCGCGUGAGUGAUGAAGGUCUUCGGAUCGUAAAACUCUGUUAUUAGGGAAGAACAUAUGUGUAAGUAACUGUGCACAUCUUGACGGUACCUAAUCAGAAAGCCACGGCUAACUACGUGCCAGCAGCCGCGGUAAUACGUAGGUGGCAAGCGUUAUCCGGAAUUAUUGGGCGUAAAGCGCGCGUAGGCGGUUUUUUAAGUCUGAUGUGAAAGCCCACGGCUCAACCGUGGAGGGUCAUUGGAAACUGGAAAACUUGAGUGCAGAAGAGGAAAGUGGAAUUCCAUGUGUAGCGGUGAAAUGCGCAGAGAUAUGGAGGAACACCAGUGGCGAAGGCGACUUUCUGGUCUGUAACUGACGCUGAUGUGCGAAAGCGUGGGGAUCAAACAGGAUUAGAUACCCUGGUAGUCCACGCCGUAAACGAUGAGUGCUAAGUGUUAGGGGGUUUCCGCCCCUUAGUGCUGCAGCUAACGCAUUAAGCACUCCGCCCUGGGGAGG